UAUUGCACAUUCACCAGCCU
rnacentral:miRNA from 1 species